rnacentral:rRNA from 1 species
CUACGGGGCGCACCAGUGAGGAAUAUUGGUCAAUGGGCGAGAGCCUGAACCAGCCAUGCCGCGUGCAGGAUGACGGCCCUAUGGGUUGUAAACUGCUUUUGUACGGGAAGAAUAGGCGCCACGUGUGGCGAUUUGACGGUACCGUACGAAUAAGCACCGGCUAACUCCGUGCCAGCAGCCGCGGUAAUACGGAGGGUGCAGGCGUUAUCCGGAUUUAUUGGGUUUAAAGGGUGCGUAGGCGGGCUUAUAAGUCAGUGGUGAAAUCUCGUGGCUCAACCAUGAAAUUGCCAUUGAUACUGUAGGCCUUGAGUAUAGUUGAGGUAGGCGGAAUGUGUCAUGUAGCGGUGAAAUGCUUAGAUAUGACCCAGAACACCAAUUGCGUAGGCAGCUUGCUAAACUAUUACUGACGCUGAUGCACGAAAGCGUGGGUAGCGAACAGGAUUAGAUACCCUAGUAGUC